rnacentral:lncRNA from 1 species
GCCACACUGGGUUCACCCUGUUCUGUGGCACCACCUGUGAGUCUUAGACCAGCCCAAAAACCCUGCCACUCCCAAAGAUCAGCCAUCCAAAUGUCAAGGGACCUGGAAAACUGGAGAUAGUUGAAGGAGGGAGGUAUCUUCAGCCAGAAACCAGCCCAAGAGCAAAGGAGCAAAACCACCUCAGACGAUCAUGAAUCCAUUGGAGUGUCAGCUGGAAAGAAGCACUGGAGCUCAGUCACUCCAAGCUCCCACUCAGGCAAGGGCUGCUGGCAGCACUGAACAGCCACAACUUUCUGCAGCUGACUCUUGGAAACCUGCACAGGUGUCUGGGCAACCUGGAAUGCCACUGCUCAUGGUAAAAGCACCAUCUCUAGAACAUUGUGCCACCAAGCAAGCUCUGCUCCACCAGCCCUGUGAUCAACCCCUGGAGAGCUCAGCAGAUCUUUUCUCCCUGACAGCCUUAGCCAAAUCACUUCUCCAGGCUUGCCAUUCUUCAGAACACUGUCAGGCUUUGCUGCCACCAAGCCACUAUUUCCAGAACACAGUGAAGUGCUUAUCACUUAAACCUUAAACACUACUUGCCUAGUAAUGAAAAUUGAAUUGAUUGGAGAGUAAACUUCUGCUAAGUGACUGGCAGAAUUCCAGCUCCAGUCCAUAAUGAUCAAAAUUCACUAAAAUAGCAUUUUUAAAUGUCUUUUGUUUGAAAACCAUACUAUACCCAGGUGUGGGGAGAUCUAGACACAAGGUAGUUAUUUUAAGUGUUUCUAGAAUUGAGCCCAAAAAAAUGUUUCUGAAUUAACAAUUGCUAAUUUGGGGUUGAAUGAAAUCUGUGUUAAUCUUAAAAAUGUCUACAUUAUUAAAAAUCAUAUUUGUCCCUCCUUUAAUUCAACUGCUUGUGUUGUCAGGUACCUCAAUCCCAAUCCCUCUUAGAAAUGUUUGCCUCAAGAGAAAGAUACUCACUUCCUCCUAACCUGGUGCUCAGGAUGGAGACUCUUCCACUGUCACUUUGAGAGAAUUUACUAUUGAUUGCCAAAGCUACUGUGUAACCUGAGGAACUUCCCUCACCUUCUAAAAGAGCAUUCUGAAUUUUCAGGACUUCAGAGAAAGUACUGCAGCUGAUUCCCUGUAUAUCCUGCUUGUUUACUGUGGGUGCUGAUGGAGCUGAGUAGAGAUGUUCAAUGCAAUGUUACUUGUGGGACAUUGGAAUACAUUGGAUAAUGAAAAGGAAAUAAAUACAAACUGAAUUCUUUGCA